CCACCUCCAACUGGCACUGAAGAUUCUAAUGGAUGCUCUGAACAAUUAGAGGGCCUCUUCAGCUGCUUUUUCAGUUUGAAGUUAUGAUUGGAGGAGACCUCGAAAUUCAGCUGUGUGCAGUAUUUAUAGAGUAGUUCCCCGUUAUCCGCGGUUUUAGUUACCCGUGGUCAACUGCAGGCUGGAAGCGGAUGAUCCUCUUUCUAACCCAUCUUCAGAAGGCCAGUAGUAGCCUAGUGCUAGGCCACAACGCCCACGCCAUUCACCUCACUCCAUCUCAUCACGCAGGCAUUGUAUCAUCUCACAUCACCACAAGAAGAAGGGGAAUGAUGGUGCGUUUACGGAGAUACAAAUUCUGGAGAAAGACUGGAUUUGGAGGAGAAAGACCAUGAUGGGGAAAAAUCAGAAAUGAGAAACAUCCUGCAAAUAGAGAAAUGGGAACAACUGAAAGAACCAGGCCCCACAGGAGAUGGUAUCAACUGGUCAUGUUCUUCCCAACGUGUAUUCUGGUUUAGGGUAAAAUGGAUCCCAGUGGAGUCUGAGAGAAUGGAUCAGUUCAACCCCUCUAAGAGCUUGACCUCUAAGCAUAGAGGUGGAGCCGACUGCUUUCCCAUCCAUCAGUUCUCUUUCAACCUGAUGUGGAGAUGAUGACAAAAAGAAUGGACUUUAACAAGAAGUAGUUAACAUUCAAAGCCAGCCUCCUGACUUGACACUAUCCUCCUAGAUUUGGAGGCUUUUUGUUUUCAUAUCUUCAGUGACACCUAGGAAAGUGC
rnacentral:lncRNA from 1 species